rnacentral:tRNA from 1 species
GUGGUGGAUCAGUGGUAAAGCACUUGCCUAGCACACAUGAGGCACUGGGUUCGAUCCUCAGCAUCACA